rnacentral:sRNA from 1 species
UGAUAUCCCUCAUGACAAUGGUGAAGUG